UCCUACGGGAGGCAGCAGUGGGGAAUAUUGGACAAUGGGCGCAAGCCUGAUCCAGCAAUGCCGCGUGUGUGAAGAAGGCCUGCGGGUUGUAAAGACACUUUCAGUAGAGAAGAAAAGCCUAGGGUUAAUACCCCUGAGUCUUGACGUAACCUACAGAAGAAGCACCGGCUAACUCCGUGCCAGCAGCCGCGGUAAU
rnacentral:rRNA from 1 species